rnacentral:rRNA from 1 species
GAUGAACGCUGGCGGCGUGCCUAAUACAUGCAAGUCGAGCGAACAGACGAGGAGCUUGCCUCUCUGACGUUAGUGGCGGACGGGUGAGCAAACCGUGGAUAAACUCCCUAUCAGACUGGGAUAACUUCGGGAAACCGGAGCUAAUACCGGAUAAAAUAUUGAACCGCAUGGUUAAAUAGUGAAAGAUGGUUUUGCUGUCACCUAUAGAUGGAUCCGCGACGCCUUAGCUAGUUGGUAAGGUAACGGCUUACCAAGGCAACGAUGCGUAGCCGACCUGGGAGAGUGAUAGGCGACGCUGGAAGAGAGACACGGUCCAGACUGCUACGGGGAGCAGCAGUAGGGAAUCUUGCGAAAUGGGCGAAAGGCUGACGGAGCAACGCCGGAUGAGUGAUGAAGGUCUUGGGAUCGGAAAACACUGUUAUUAGGGAAGGACAAGUGUGUAAGUAACUAUGCACGUCAUGGCGGUACCUAAUCGGAUAAGCACGGGUUACUACGUU